UACGAAGGGGGCUAGCGUUGCUCGGAAUCACUGGGCGUAAAGGGUGCGUAGGCGGGUUUUUAAGUCAGGGGUGAAAUCCUGGAGCUCAACUCCAGAACUGCCUUUGAUACUGGCGAUCUCGAGUCCGGGAGAGGUGAGUGGAACUGCGAGUGUAGAGGUGAAAUUCGUAGAUAUCAGGAAGAACACCCGUGGCGAAGGCGGCUUCCUGGACCGAUACUGACGCUGAGGCGCGAAAGCUAGGGGAGCAAACGGG
rnacentral:rRNA from 1 species